rnacentral:rRNA from 1 species
AGUCGGAGUUGCUAGUAAUCCCGAAUCAGCAUGUCGGGGUGAAUGCGUUCCCGGGCCUUGUACACACCGCCCGUCACGCCAUGGGAGCUGGUAAUACCCAAAGUCGGUACACCAACCGCAAGGAGGAAGCCGCCUAAGGUAGGAUCAGUGACUGGGGUGAAGUCGUAACAAGGUAUC